CAGCAGCCGCGGGAAUACGUAGGGUGCAAGCGUUGUUCGGAAUUACUGGGCGUAAAGCGCACGUAGGCCGCUUUGUAAGUCAGAGGUGAAAGCCCGGGGCUCAACCCCGGAUGUGCCUUUGAGACUGCAGGGCUAGAACGUCGGAGAGGUGAGUGGAAUUCCGAGUGUAGAGGUGAAAUUCGUAGAUAUUCGGAAGAACACCAGUGGCGAAGGCGGCUCACUGGACGACUGUUGACGCUGAGGUGCGAAAGCGUGGGGAGCAAACAGGAUUAGAUACCCGGGUAGUCCCUGUCUCUUAUAC
rnacentral:rRNA from 1 species